AUUAGUUCUCGACUUCUGCCUCGUCGACACUCCGCAGCCUGAGCAGAUGACUGUCAAUAGGUUAGACUGAUGCCUAGUCUGACCAGAUAAUAGUCUUCGAUUGAUCACACCAAACUCACCAACUUUAUGUAUUAAAUAAACCCCAGCUUUGGACUUUCCCAUCUGAUGAUGGCACAGAGUGUCCGACUUCUGAUCGUGACCGACUAGUCCUCAGCUCACUGACACCAGUUAGCACACCAGUUUAAAAUUUAAUGCCUUCUAGAUGACAAUUGUCACAAGAUGGAUAAGGCAACCACAACCACUAUAUUUCGAGAGUUUGGAACGACAGUUCUUUCACUAUGUGCAAAUUACGUCCUAGCUAGAUGGAUUCAUGCCAACCGGCUUACCAACCAAAGCAACCGCCUUCGUCCAUAAAAGGAGGUCUAAAGGGGAUCCUAAAAAAGGUACAUCAUUACUCUAUCUCUUAUACUCCUCUUUCUGUUGAACAAGAGUUUUGACUUGAGCGUCGGAGGAUCCCCAUCGAAGCAAUCCCGAUCAAGAUGUUUUUGCAGGUCACACCCUCGGAAGACCCCAUCUUGCUGUC
rnacentral:lncRNA from 1 species